GCAGGCCUAACACAUGCAAGUCGAACGGUAACAGGAAGCAGCUUGCUGCUUCGCUGACGAGUGGCGGACGGGUGAGUAAUGUCUGGGAAGCUGCCUGAUGGAGGGGGAUAACUACUGGAAACGGUAGCUAAUACCGCAUAAUGUCGCAAGACCAAAGAGGGGGACCUUCGGGCCUCUUGCCAUCGGAUGUGCCCAGAUGGGAUUAGCUUGUUGGUGGGGUAACGGCUCACCAAGGCGACGAUCCCUAGCUGGUCUGAGAGGAUGACCAGCCACACUGGAACUGAGACACGGUCCAGACUCCUACGGGAGGCAGCAGUGGGGAAUAUUGCACAAUGGGCGCAAGCCUGAUGCAGCCAUGCCGCGUGUAUGAAGAAGGCCUUCGGGUUGUAAAGUACUUUCAGCGGGGAGGAAGGGAGUAAAGUUAAUACCUUUGCUCAUUGACGUUACCCGCAGAAGAAGCACCGGCUAACUCCGUGCCAGCAGCCGCGGUAAUACGGAGGGUGCAAGCGUUAAUCGGAAUUACUGGGCGUAAAGCGCACGCAGGCGGUUUGUUAAGUCAGAUGUGAAAUCCCCGGGCUCAACCUGGGAACUGCAUCUGAUACUGGCAAGCUUGAGUCUCGUAGAGGGGGGUAGAAUUCCAGGUGUAGCGGUGAAAUGCGUAGAGAUCUGGAGGAAUACCGGUGG
rnacentral:rRNA from 1 species